rnacentral:tmRNA from 1 species
GGGGGUGAACGGUUUCGACUCCGUCAGUCGAUCUGAGGGAAGCGUGCCGGUGCAGGCAGGAGACCACCGAAAGCGUCGCUGCACACCAACAAGCGCCGACAAGAGUCAGCGCGAGUUCGCCCUCGCCGCCUGAGCGAGGAGCGACUCUGUCGGACCGGGACAGCCUCCGACCCGGGAUCCGGCAUCAGCGAGGAGGCUCCACCACCAGGUCCGGUCGCGGGACCUGGUGGGACACCGCACAGCGACUGGGCUCGUCACACCGGCUUGUUCGCGUGACCGGUGGAGCCGAGUAGAGGCAUAGCGAACUGCGCACGGAGAAGCCUCAGUGAGGCGACGGAGGACCCGGGUUCGAUUCCCGGCACCUCCACCG